rnacentral:tRNA from 1 species
UGUAGCUCAGCUGGUUAGAGCACAGGAUUCAUAAUCCUGGGGUCGAGGGUUCAAGUCCCUCUUUCACCACCA